rnacentral:rRNA from 1 species
AGAACGAACGCUGGCGGCAUGCCUAACACAUGCAAGUCGAACGCUCUUGGGGCUUCGGUUCCAAGGGAGUGGCGCACGGGUGAGUAGCGCGUGGGAACCUGCCCUGGAGUGGGGGAUAACCGAGGGAAACUUCGGCUAAUACCGCAUGCGCCCGGGAAACCGGGGAAAGAUUUAUCGCUCUAGGAGGGGCCCGCGUCGGAUUAGCUAGUUGGUGGGGUAACGGCCUACCAAGGCUUUGAUCCGUAGCUGGUCUGAGAGGAUGAUCAGCCACACUGGGACUGAGACACGGCCCAGACUCCUACGGGAGGCAGCAGUGGGGAAUAUUGGACAAUGGGCGCAAGCCUGAUCCAGCAAUGCCGCGUGAGUGAUGACGGCCUUAGGGUUGUAAAGCUCUUUCGCUCGGGACGAUAAUGACGGUACCGAGAUAAGAAGCCCGGCUAACUUCGUGCCAGCAGCCGC